CACGUAGGGGGCAAGCGUUGUCCGGAUUUAUUGGGCGUAAAGAGCGCGCAGGCGGUCGUUCAAGUCGCGUGUGAAAGCCCCCGGCUCAACUAGGGAGGGUCACGCGAUACUGAUCGACUCGAAGGCAGGAGAGGGUAGUGGAAUUCCCGGUGUAGUGGUGAAAUGCGUAGAUAUCGGGAGGAACACCAGUGGCGAAGGCGACUACCUGGCCUGUUCUUGACGCUGAGGCGCGAAAGCUAGGGGAGCAAACGGG
rnacentral:rRNA from 1 species